ensembl:snoRNA U8 U8 small nucleolar RNA
ACAUAAGUAGUAAUCCUUACUUAUUUUUCUUUUUUGAAGGGCAGGUUGGAACAUGAUGAUUGUAGUUUCCAUGAUAUUUGAUUAACGUCUUUACGUAAUCAAGACUCGCAACGUCCCGAUUGUUUCUAUUUGAU